CAGCGCGAACCCACAGAGCAAUGGCAACACCGGUCAGCCAACGUGAAAGACUAACGGCUAAAGUUUACAAUUCACAGUCGGGUACAACUCCCAGCGUCGCAAGAACAAACCUGAAGUCUCCGUCAAGGAUUGGGACGGAGGAUCGAGUCACGCAUGCGCAAGAACGGGCCUACAAGCAAGUCGACAAGUCGUUAGACGUGUCUAUGUGGCGGCGGAAGUGACGUCAGAUGUCCGAGCUCCCCCUCGUGGAGAGGACAGGCAAGGACACGAGAUAUUUUUCAUGCGUAAUAUGGAUUUGUGAAACAGAUAUUAGUUUAGAUUACUUACAGCAUGGAAACAGACCCUUCAGCCCAACAAGUCUACACCGACCUGCCGAAGCGCAUUCCCCUUCACCUGACACUAUGGACAAUGGCCAAUUACUACAGACAAUUUAGCAUGCCCAAUUCACCUAACCUGCACAUUUUGGAUUGUGGGAGGAAACCGGAACACCCGGAGGAAACCCACGCAGACACGGGGAGAACGUGCAAACUCCACACAGAGAGUCACCUGAGGCGGGAAUUGAACCCGGGUCUCUGGCACUGUGAGGCAACAGUGCUAACCACUGUGCCACCAUGCUGCCCAUAUUGGUUUAAGUAAAUAAUUUUGACUUAUGUUAUUUUAACAUGUAGUUAAAAUAUAAGGUUUAUAGUAGCCUAUAGGAGUUAUGUCAUCUAAUUUAUAAUUUGUGUAAUCGAAUAGUAUAUUCUUAAUUUCUAAUUUACUGGUUUUGAUGUACAAAGGAACUAAACUUGUUAAUCUUUUUUGAAUGGGUGAAAAGGUUGUGUAGUGAUAACGUCACUAGACUACUUAUCCAGAGACCUAGGCUAAUGCUGUGGAGAAUGAGUUGAAAUUCCACAAUAGU